ensembl:rRNA 5S_rRNA 5S ribosomal RNA
GCUUACGGCCAUACCACCCUGAGAACGCCCUAUCUCGUCUGAUCUCGGAAGCUAAGCAGGGUCGGGCCUGGUUAGUACUUGGAUGGGAGACCGCCUGGGAAUACCAGGUGCUGUAAGCU